GGUAGCGUGGCCGAGUGGUCGAAGGCGCUGGUUUUAGGCACCAAUCUCAUUAGAGGCGUGGGAUCGAGUCCCACCGCUGCCA
rnacentral:tRNA from 1 species